rnacentral:lncRNA from 1 species
AGUGAUGAUGUCCCCAGGCUCACAGUGACAGUGUCCCCAUAUCCACAGUGUCCCCGUGUCAGUCCCCAAAGUCUUGGUGUCCCCGUACCCACAGUGACGGUGUCCCCAGGCUCAUGUUGAUGUCCCCAGGCUCACGGUGACGGUGUCCCCGUACCCGCAGUGUCCCCAUGUCAGUCCCCAGGGUCUUGGUGUCCCCAUACCCAUGGUGACAUUGUUCCCAGGCUCACGGUGAUGGUGUCCCCAUAUCCAUG